GGGCCCGCACAAGCGGUGGAGCAUGUGGUUUAAUUCGACGCAACGCGAAGAACCUUACCUACACUUGACAUCCUCGGAACUUUCUAGAGAUAGAUUGGUGCCUUCGGAGACCGGGUGACAGGUGCUGCAUGGCUGUCGUCAGCUCGUGUCGUGAGAUGUUGGGUUAAGUCCCGCAACGAGCGCAACCCUUGCCCUCAGUUGCCAGCAGUUCGGCUGGGCACUCUGGGGGGACUGCCGGUGACAAGCCGGAGGAAGGUGGGGAUGACGUCAAGUCCUCAUGGCCCUUACGUGUUGGGCUACACACGUGCUACAAUGGCGGUGACAACGGGAAGCGAAGGGGUGACCUGGAGCAA
rnacentral:rRNA from 1 species